UACGUAGGGCGCAAGCGUUAUCCGGAGUUAUUGGGCGUAAAGAGCUCGUAGGCGGUUUGUCGCGUCUGCCGUGAAAAUCCGGGGCUCAACCCCGGACUUGCAGUGGGUACGGGCAGACUAGAGUGUGGUAGGGGAGACUGGAAUUCCUGGUGUAGCGGUGAAAUGCGCAGAUAUCAGGAGGAACACCGAUGGCGAAGGCAGGUCUCUGGGCCACUACUGACGCUGAGAAGCGAAAGCAUGGGGAGCGAACAGG
rnacentral:rRNA from 1 species